CUAUCUCAACCCUAGCGAUGUUGUCAUGACGUUGCUCAGCGGAUUGGAACAUGGACUUGGCGGGGUUUGCCCUGCCGGUCUUAAAUGGAGUAGGCUAGCCGACUAUCAGCGGUUUGACCGGGUGUUGUAGAGUCGCCUCACUCGGGACGCUGAUCGGAUUAGUUGGAUUGUAAUUGUAUUACUCGAGCGA
rnacentral:misc_RNA from 1 species